AGCGUCUGUGCCGUCACCGCCCACCGCCUCCCCGGGAGCGUCCACGGGAUCCCCGGGGACCCGAACGGCCACUUCGUGCAGUGCCAGGUCGGGAAGAACACUUAGGGCUUGAAGCUACUGCAGCUUUUACUGGACAGCAGUGCAGCCAGAACGCUGGAAAUGGAGAACAGCCACAGGAAAUGCAGAAUGAGCAGUUUGUAACAUUUUCUGCAGCACUGUGUGGCCUGGCUGAAUAGAAAGCCUGAAAUCCUUCACCGUGGAUUUGUGGCUCAAGACAAAGCCGUGGCUGCGACUGUUCUGUGCAGAUCCCAACGAUACUCAAUGCAGAGAGGAUGGCACAGCUCUGCCUGCUGAAGCUCCCAGGGAGCAGCUCCUGCCCCAGCAGUCCUGCAGGGUCCAACUGCACAUACUGACUAGAAGGGAAGGAAUGAGAAACUGCAGCCGACAGGAGCACAACAAAGUAUUUAAUGUCUUGUCUUUAUAAAGGUAGCUGCAUGCUUUAAGCACUUUGUGCUCAGAUGCUUUCAGAUGACAGCAGUUGCAAAAGAUCUGCUCAGACAACAGAGGAUUAUUGUUCUGCAUCACAAUAACAGUUUAAAUGCAAAUUAAAAACAAUCAAUUCCA